CUGGUUUCGGAGAGCAGGACUGCGACGCUGGACGCGCGUGUUGGCAAGAGUCUCCGACAAGACAGAGAGACGCACAGCACUCAGCCAAUCCAGCGAAGCUGGGGCACAAACGGACUUGGCAAGGACUGAACGCGGCAAGGUGCACACCAGAGGCGCAUUUACAUCCAGCCCAGAAAAAAAACCAACAACCCAGAGCAGCGAAAGAGAUGCGAAGCGAAGAAAGCGCAAGGUAGGCAAGGCCUUGACACGAGAUCAGCCCGGCAAAGGUGGGAGACAGAUUGAGCUGCCUCGUUCCCAACAUGAUGUUCGUGGUUUUAUCAGUGGGAACAUGGAAUAUGGCGACAUGGAACUGUAAAUAAAGCUGUCAUGCCAAUGUCAGGGACGAUGCUUUGAAAGCGCCGUAGUGUCAGACCAACAUCUUAAAACCAUUAUAAAAUCCACAGCAGGUUGUUUCAAAUUGUAAAGACUUUCAAUAAUUUGAAAGAUUAUUCUAAACAGCAAGAGCAGAAAAGAUAGAUAAGUUACAUUUCUGGAUUUGAAGUCUGUUCAAAGAAACGCAAAAAAGGAAAAUAAACAAAACAAUGUUUGUUUCCUAAAAAUUGUUUCGUUUGUACGCGAUAAAUAAAAUCAACAACAGACCAAGGACAAAACAAAACAAAAAUGUUAUUCGCGCCAGACCUAUGAAAGUUUAGUUUAUUCCUUGCUGCUCCUUUGAGGAGCAUAGGGCCUCACAGCUAUGAAAAGCUGCAGAAAAAUAUUUAAAGAACAAACGAUUUGAUGAGAGCAGUACCCUCAAAUAGAAAGACCUUUGUUUAUCCGCAAUCGGUUGUUAGUGUAACGGUGUUUGCCAUAUGCAGGCACGGGACUUCAUGGUAUGCAUCGGUUUUCCUCCAGAAAGUUCUACACAUUACUAUGGCAAGCUAACCUAGGAAAGUCGGCAUAGCCUUGUAGUAGCUGUAAGUAAGCACGUAGCUUGCCAGGAAAAAAUACGCUCAGGUUAUUAUUGCCUGGUCACACUCCAGUAAAAACAUCCACAGCCUGACAUUCUUAAAUUACCUAUUACCUACAAGUUGUAGCUAACCGUCGCCUCCCCAAGCUCAGUAGCUGUUUCGAAAAAGCUGCGAACGAGGAAACCCGCAGUUGUCUGUCUUCGUUUCAAGUAUUUUUCGUGCAUUUUCGAAACAACGCACGUGCGUGACAUGACAGUGAAAUGUCAGAUCGCCUCUUGGUGGCAGAAACAGCGACCACCUCAACCCCCACCCCCUGCUCAGGCCACCAUAGAAAGAAGGCGAGUAAAGAGCCUUCAGUCGCAAAAUGCGCCGCAAAUUUCCUCAAAUUUCUGAGUGGAAAGGUGGAUGCUUGUGGAAAGACUUCAUUUGCGGCGAGGGACAAUAUAUAAACAAUGGAAGAACACUCAACAUAAACGACCAUUUUAACAAAAGUAAGUGACGACCGCCUGUGUUUGAUUUGUAUUGUUUAAAAUAUUUUAUGAGAAAUAAUUUCUAAUCCUCUCCCCCACUAGCGUGCAAAGAUGCCAAAGAAAGAUAAAAAGAAUGAUGGUAGUUAAAGAAAUCAAGAGGGAAGCAGAACUAGAAAAAGUGAUUGCAAUUUGUUUUCAAUCCCUACAUCCUGUAUUAUGAACCUAAUAUACUUGUAGUAGGACAGUUCCCUCGUUUGUUGCUUGAUCGUGUAUUCGAAUCACUGAAUUGAAAAGGUAAAAUGCAUGGCAUUUCCAACAAGUAUAUCAACACUGAAUACUCAUUCAAAUAUAUCAAAUAAAAAAGGAAAGGGUAAGACUGUGAUUAGUGUGCAUCCGAGGGCAAUAGCUAUGGUUCAGAAAAACAUAUUUGCCUGUUAGUUUGCAUUGUUUACGAUCCAUAGUGCUCAAAGGACCCCUCCAAUUUUGUUUCUGGUCCAUAGCUUUAUUUGCGGUCUAUAACUUUGGGAACUUUCUCGAGCGCUGUCAUGCAUUCAGCAAACUUUACGAUCUGCAGGUUCUAUGAAGACAUCGAGUGAAUACAUUACAGACAAGUGUUUUCAAAGAUCCUACCACACUUCAAGCCAAGACUACAGACAGCCAUUCGACUAUCUUGUGAUGACAGUUGCGGAACGAUGUCAUUAAAACGCCUUUGGAGCUCUGUCAAGCGUUUGGUACAGCACAACACAUUCCGACAUUUUGUUUCUCGUCUCCCGACUGUUAGGAGCGAAUCCCGUGCAGGAAGACAAGCUGUGGUGUUGCGGGGCUUUGCCUGUCAGACACGAGGCUGGACAGCUGCCUAAUGUGCUUACUUGCCCUUUCGCAUUAACCGCGCGAGCCAGGCCGGGGCAAGGUAUAGGUAAACUACAGCUGUCGAGGUAAGAAGUGAGCUUGCACCUCAAACAUCGGAGGUGACUGUAUGUCAAAACGCAGUAUAACCAGAGCCUGCAUGUGUUCGUGUUAAGAACAAGUGGAUUUACCGCACUGGCUUGCUAGUGCAUAUCCAUCCCUUCCUUCUAUUAGAAGUUCAAGCCUGCGCACGUGCACACCCACACACACACCUCUCUCUCUCUCUCACACACACACGAUCAGUAAACGCACUUGCAAAAGCUGCACAGUUUGUAGCAGUUACUGAAAUAUUAUCAGGAAUAUUUUAAUAUCGGAUGUUUAUACGUGGAUUUCUUACAUCCUGCAUGCAUCAGGGUCUUAAAAAAAGUAUCCGUUUAUCUUCUUAUUUACACUACCAUAUGUAAAGAAAGUUUCUUUCAUGCUGAAGCAAUAUGCUAUCACUGUACAGCUGACAUAUUAUCAUGCUACAGUUGACAUUCUGUCAGCAGUGCAGAUGGUGAAGCAGCUGGGCUUGUACAUCUUCUGCAGUGUUUAUGAUCCUGUUUGGCUCAUGAUCUAAAUACAGAAACUCCCUUCAUACCUGUACUCACGUUGUCAGGGAUUUAAAUACACAAGUUCCCUUUAUACCUUAAGCUUAUUUAAUUUGUCAAAGAUUUAAAUUCAGAAACUUCCUUUAUACGUUGAUAUUCUUCAAUUUGUCAGAGAUUUAAAUACAAAAACUAUCUUUAUAUCUUAAUCCUAUUUAUUUGUCAGUGGGGAGUAGUUCAAUCGCAUGCUCAGGGAGUAACAAGCCAAUAUGGACGAACGUUUGGCCAUGAGUCGCAAAAGUUUUGACAUAAAGGUGAUACACAAACUUUGCCAAAAUCGGUCAAUCGUCCGUUCACAUUUGUCCGAUUCAGAAGGACUUUAAGGACGUGGAAGCGAAACACGGUUUAAUGUCAUUUGACUAAUUUCAUGGUUUAACCUCAUUUCACGGUUGAAUAUCAUUUCUGCAUGAAACGUUAUCUGCGCGACCAAGUUUCAGAAGUCAACAUGUAAAGAAAGCUGCUAAAGAAUGUGAACAUGUGUAAAGACUAAUUUAUGGGAUAUAACGGUGUAUGUCCAAGGACAAACCCAGCAAUCCUCCAAUUACUUCAGGAAACUCCCAGAAUGUCCAGAAACGGUAAAGCGUCGCACGACUUUGGAUUUCCUGCCAAACGGAGAGGAGCUGUUUUGAAAAUCUUGAGACUGUACAGCACGAACACAACAGUCAACUUGAGUUAGACGGUUACUGUCUAGCUGGGGAACUGCGCCAUUAAUUCCAACGGCGUAAUUGUGGCUACUGGAACCUCGUUUGCGCUGCUGACUGUGGCCCUGCAGCUUCUCGGCAAGUGACAGGUCCACGUGAAGACGCGCGAUUGCAGCAACCAACGGCCACUGAUUGACAUUACCACGCUUCUCUGCCAUGCACUCAGCGCCCCAUACCACCUGCCUCUGACCACGACAUACAACGAUGUGUAACGAUUACAUUGAUUAAAAACAAAUCUUUAUCAAGAUUCUCGAAAAUAAACCAGCAUGUUUUACACAAAAGAACGUACUGAAGGAAACAACAUGGGCGCAUACUGUGUGAUACGUUAGAAAGAAAGCUGUAUGUUUUUGGUUGGGAGAGGAGUGGUAGAGCCAAGGAAAAAAGCAGAGCACCAACCCCAAAGAUUGAAAAUGAAGACGGGAAUUUCAACAGCAAACACUGAAAGUUCUGUAGUGGUGUAUAAUCAAUGAGGCGUCUGAACAGCUGUCUACCAUGUUGACUUUACAUUUGAAAGGCACCAAAGUGAACCUGGCUUCUGGAGCCAAAAGUGCGAGCCUCUACAAGAAGCUACUGUUCCUUUUCCUUCUCAUAAAUCAAAGAGUAUGGUCAUCCCGCGGGUGGGCGACGUUUGAUAAUUAUGCCAAAGCUUUACCGUUUGUCGGAUACUCACCUAAUGUGGCAGGCAUACUUUUCUCAUUUAUCAAUCCGUCGCAGACUAUGGUUGGUGUAUGUUUAUUUUCUCUGUUAUAAGAUGUUACAUAACCAGCGGCUCCAAGGAAGGGAAAAAGAUUAUAAAGAGCCAACUACGAUAUACCUUUCCUGGACACAGUACAUUUCGACAACGGGAUUUCAGGGGAGGGGAGGGUCCUCAUGCAAGAUUGAAAGGUAAAGAGACAAGAAGGGGGCAGGUGAGCGAGGCAGUCGCAUGGGAGCAACUUUAUAUCUCCCCGUUUACUACGAUCAGCCACUGGUUUGCUGUUCUUCUCACCCCCUCAAAAAAAGCCGUUUGUUUCACAGGCAGGAGACGGAACGUCACCCAGCUCCACCACAAUCUUAUCUCUCCUUGACUCGUAACGUCAGGCCCUCUCCGCCCAUUUGGAAUCAGUUGCAGAUUGUCAUUACUUGCCAAAGAAAAAGAAGCAAGGUUUUUUUUGUUGUUGUUUGGCGGUGGUGGUGGUGGGGGGUGUGCCCUAGUGAACCACAAGACUUCGUGCUCUCCCUUGCAUACACGUCUAAGGCAGCGGAGGAUACAGACAAUUAAAAAAGAUCACUGCCAGGAAAUUCUAUUUUUAACAAGGGGUGACAUUUUUGGAUUUGUUGCAACAGAAGCAACAAUUACAACAGCAGUAGCGGCAACGGCACCGCCAUGCUUUUUCAGGGAUGCGCAGACUGUGACGUCACCAUUGAACAAAAAUAACUUGCCGUUAACUUCAAACGCCACCGAAUGGAUUUUAUAAAUACUGACAUCUAAAAAUACCAGCAGCACGCAUGCUUCUGAGGUAGCUCUCCACCUCACUAAAUAUCGAAAGUUUUUCAAGCUCGAAUAUUUGGGCUAUAAAAACUAAAUUUUGCUACAAUGAACAUAUUACACAAGAGCUCAGGAAGUUCAUUAAGUAUCCGGGGAAAGAACCUCAAAUAGCAAAGUUCCGGUUGAACGUUGUUUGCUGUUUGUGAAUAGAAACUCGCUUGAGUUCUGCUGAAGGCUGGACGUACAUCUGUUGGCAAUAAUUCACUGCCAACGUUGUACCGAAGCUAAACCAAGGUUAUUUGCAUGGGUCACAACAUAUCUUUUGUAGGGAAAAACCCGAGAGAUUGUGCGCACGCAUGUUGUGGUUUUCUGAUUCGGGGUUGCAUGAGCGAAAAGAAAAUUAUGAUAUAUUUUUUCUCGCUUUAUGACAUUUGCAGGCGUCCGUCUACGUCCUGCCCUCACUGAAUUACGCCCACGUAAGACAAGAAAUAGGGAAAAAAUCUUACUUGCUUCAAAGUUUCGCAAGUAAAUGUACAUAUCAGACAAGUCUUCGCUUGGAGCGCUGCUAAAUCUCGAGACACCUUUCAAGAAAGUUAUUUUCGGGCAUCGUAACACCCGCGCUGGGGCCAGGCCCCUGACAGUACAGCCUCGCUAUAGACGCACUCACAUUCCGCGAAGCAGUGAAUGACUCACCAGAAAGGCUCUCUAGCUUCCGGAGGGUACAAACAGUCCCGUCUUAUUUUUCUUGUACUUUCUUUACAUGUUUUCGCUGUUUCCUGCUUGUCCUUUUGCACCUUCAGAGAACUGUGGUGUUAGUAAAGGUAGUCGGCUCGUUGCCUGGCCUGACAGACUCCUGGCUUGCUGAACGCGCAGGUGAGAUGAGGUGUAAAAAGUGGUUUGCACGCCAGUCUUACCCCGUCUCUCUUAACUUUUUCUACAAGGGUCAUCGAAGGAUAAAAAGAUGAUGUUUGGAUAUGGUCUAUAUUAACUGCAGAUAUUGUGUUAUGUAAGUUGACAGUAAACACAGCAUCUGCACGUCACUCAAACUGACGGUCAACAAAAAGCAGUUGUUCGUCGUGUGACGAUAACGAUGGCGUGUCACACAUACUGCCACAUUUUCAUCAAAGACCAUACUUGUAGUCCACCUGGAUAUCGAGUCUCAGAUAUGCUAAAAAUAGCGAAAGCCCUUGAGCUCUAAGUCCUGGGUCCUAUAAAAUGUGAAUCAUCUAGCUCCAUUUUAAUCGUUACAUUUAUUACGAUAUCCUAGUUACGCCCCUUGACUUACUCUUUGGUGUGUGAGUCUGAGCUAUUCUAAGUAAACAUAACUGUCGUCUUGGAGUGUGUUAUUCUGUUCGUAGUAAGGCAGAACGCUAUGAAACAGAACAACAUUGAGCACAGUUAUAACAAAACGCGGCAUUUAGCCGCACAAAAUUAUGUUAGCUAUAUGCUCUAUGUGUGAGUGAGAGAGACAAAUGGUGAAUUAAAAAUAAAAAAGAAUUCUUACACUUAUUGACUGCUUCUUGUUCAGGCUAUUAUAUUUUGUAUUGAAUUGCUCUUUGCCAGUUUCCGUGAGAAAGUUUGGAUGCAGAGGAACUGAUUACGAACAUAUCAAAAGGAGAGUGCUAAACACAGCUGACAGGAGAGUCUGUUUUCGUAGAAACCGGACAAAGCCAUCACAGUCACUGUGCCGACAGCAGCAAACCUCUAUAUGAGCAAGCCUCAUGUACAGGCCAUAUAUAGGGCAGUGUAAAUGAAUGCAAAAAUUAUAAUAAAACACACAAACUAUAUCCUCGCAUGUGAUGACAUAGCGUUUUCUUUUUUAAAUAAAUACUAACUGAUGUGACAGUCCGAUAAAAGUCAGGACAGAACCUUAGAGAAAAAAGUAAUAUUCAAACUUGCAUGCACACACGUCUAACCUUCACACACUUUAUACAAGAGAUAAUACACAGGCAAGGACGAAAAAGCUGAGCUGCACAAGAACAGUUUUGAAGAUAAUAUUCGGAAAGUCUGCUGUUGAGGGCCCAACAAACAAAGCCAUUAUACUCUCUGGAUGUUAGGGGAAUGGAUCAACAGGUAUUAUGACUGCUGACGUGACAAAGAAAGCCUUUUUGCUAACGAUACUGUGCUCUUUAUUCUCCAGCAGUCUCAAAAGACACUUUGCCACCAGAGGAAUAAAAAAAAUUGUUGCAAUGAUGGUGUUGUUUGCUGCUAUAUUUUGAGUCGACAGUCUCACGCAGCCAGAGAGGUAUAGCGAGAGGGAGAAGAGCUGACGCAGAAAAAAAGAGUAUGGGAGAACAUCGAUAUAAAAACCCGUAAAAAUGAUGACCAAAAAAAAAAAAAAUUAUGCACGCGUGCACGCACACACGCACACCAUAUAAACAAUUGGAAAGUGUGAACAUAUUACAACAUAAACAAUUUACUGUGCGUGCACGGUAUCUCCAUUUACCUUCCUCACAGUGCAAACAGCUACUGCUGAUGCAAUCCUGCAGCUGUGCAUGAACAGGAAGACAGGAAGAUAUAUAACUCACACUCUUCACUCUUCUAUCAUCUCUAGACAGGUGUGGCGGUGGACUUCUGAAAAAGCUGCUCUGGGUGAUUUCUUCCUCGCCACACUGUGCUGAACAUUUUUCAUAUAUCAUCCCCGUGAAGCCAGUAAACAUGCUAGUACAUACAGAAAUCUUAAACGUAAACCAUUUAGACUGUAAGACAGUGGAACAGCAACCUAUGUGUUAGUCACGUGUCACGAGCAGAGCUUACCACAACCUGACAACCGGAUGCAGCUGUAGUACUGAUCAUUGCAUUUUUGACCAGAUCUUCAUCGGUCACACGAAGUCAAAUAAAAAUAAAAAGACAGAAAACCCGGGUAAAAACGCGGUGUCUAUUGUUGCAAACAUGUGUAGCAGGAACAGUUCACUAUUUCCAGCAGUGUGGAUACGUCCGAAAGACUAUCAUUAAAGACUCAAACAUGCCAUGCUGAUUGCUUGUUUUUAACUGAGUGCACAGUAUAUCUUACCUGUCCCUCUCUCCUUCCCCCAACCCUCUAUGGAGUCAGGUACACAUUCCCAACAGCCAGAUAGACUGGGGGAAGUUCAC